rnacentral:misc_RNA from 1 species
UAAUGUUACUUUCUGAAUCCGUUAUUGAUGUAUCUUACCUGAAAAUAAAGGUUUAUUUUGUGAUUUAGGCUACAUGCAUGGCCUAUCGUCAGUGGCCAGCCUAAUAGAAUACUUCCAAUGAUGAUAAUAAUUGAUAUUAUGACAUAAUUUCAUGAUUAUGAUACAAUUAUUGCAUCUCUGCGCUCAAGUAAAAAUCCCGCUCCAUUGUAGAUGUAAAAUACGUGUGAAUCGAUUAAUGAGAAUCGACUUUGAAUUCAAGUCAAGCAACAUAACCUCAUUCUUAUUGCGUUGUGAAUUUUUGACAAGGGAAUUUUUCGGUUCUUGAUGAUCAGUGUUUAUUGAGAUUAGUGCAAUAUUUGCAACGAAUAACUCAGUAUUCUUUCUCAAAUUUCACUAAAAUUCAUUGCUGGGUAAUUAUUUGUGAGUAGAUAAUGCAAGCUUUGUAAAUGAGCUGUUUCCUAUUCAACUUGAGAGAUGGGCUUGAAAACAAGGUACGGUAAAGGAAUUAACAAAUCAUAAAUUAUAAUUGAACAAUAUCAUUGUGAUACAAAAUGGAUAAAUACGAGCUGGUGGGGAUGGUUGGAGAAGGAUCGUUUGGCAGAGUUUAUAAGGGCAGAAUCAUUGAAACGGACGAGAUAAUUGCUUUGAAAAUAAUAAGCAAGUGUGGUAGAUCUAUGAAAGAACUGGCCAGUCUACGUAGUGAAUGCGAAGUCCAGCGGGACCUAUGUCAUCCCAACAUCAUCAAAAUGAUCGACUCGUUUGAAACGGAAGGAGAUAUCGUGGUUGUAACUGAGUAUGCCAACAGGGAGUUGUCGGAAAUAUUGAGUCAAGAAGGCUAUUUGGAGGAAACUCGAGCCAGGAAAAUUAUCUGUGAUUUGGUUUCGGCUCUUUUCUACUUGCAUUCCAAUCGAGUAUUGCACAGAGAUUUGAAGCCCCAAAACGUGCUAAUCGAUGACAAGGGGACAGCUAAGCUGUGUGACUUUGGAUUCGCCCGCAGCAUGAGUACUGGAACGCAUGUGCUAACCUCUAUCAAGGGCACCCCACUCUACAUGGCUCCUGAACUCAUAGAAGAAAGUCCUUACGACCAUAAUGCUGACCUUUGGUCGCUUGGAUGCAUAGCCUACGAGAUGAUAGUGGGAGCGACCCCUUUCACGACCACCUCGAUACUGCACCUGGUGCAACUGUUGCGGUACGAGUCGGUCAAGUGGCCGACCUUCGUGUCAGCCGCCUGUCUCACGUUCCUGCAAGGCCUGCUGGAGAAAGACCCUGCCAGACGACUGUCCUGGCCCCAACUGCUCGACCAUCCAUUCAUCAAGGGAUCGGUUAUUGUGUCCAAUGAGGAAGGAGGUGAAAAUCCUCUGACAAGUGUCCUAACAACAUCACAAUCCAAUGCCAAGGAGAAUCAGAUGAAGGAUUUGGUCAGAAGAAAUUCCAGAAGCAGGUCAUUGGGUAAAGUGUCCUAUACUCCAAUAAGGCCUCAAGAAUUCAGAAAUGCUCCUACAUCUGUAUCGAAUACGAAGGAGAUGGAUCUGGCAAAGAAAAGAGGCUCAGCUGACAGUAGACGUUUAUCGAAUGUCGAAAUCAUUGGUCAGAAACUGGGUCAGAUCGAUUUGAAUUUCCCGGAUAAGGGUGAUGUCCAAAUGGAGGUCGGUGAGAGCUGUACCAGGGAACAUUAUGAUUCGUCAAUGGAUGGAGUGUUGAACUCGUCAAGCCAAUCAGUGCCGUCUGCACUGGAAGUGGAAGAAUGGCUGGCAUUUGUGAGCCAGAGCCUGAGGGAGGCGCUGAACAGUGAGGUGGAGGCGAUGGCACAGACGGGAUUCGUGGCCAUGUUCACCAAGGCCCUCACCACCUAUGGCCGCUCGUCCAAGGUCACCGAGUACAUAGCUCACAUUCUGUCAUUGCCGUUUGUGGGCCAGCGGCGGGUUGACAACAUCGAACAAGUUUAUUUGGAAGUAAAGGCAGUGCCAAACCUUGUACACGCCAUUAGACUGCAAACGGACGAGAUUGAAGCAGCGGCCUCCAGCGCUGAGACAGUCAGCGCCGCCUGGGAGCCGAGUGACGAAGCACUGGCCGCCAUUGAGAUAGUGUGUGUGCUCCUCACCUAUCUGGUCCACUGUGACUCCGCCUUCCUCGAUCACUUCUGCGAUGCUGCCGUUAUGAUGCACAUGGCUCCAAGACUGCAGUUCCUCUUGUCACAGCAACUACGAAGAAGGAAGUUGAGAAUCGUUAAUGACCUAGUAGCAAUACUUACUCUAGUGCUGGUCAAAAAGCCAGAAAACUCUAAACUUGUCGAAGAUGUAAUACUGAUGCCUCCAAACUCAGAUAGUGAGUUACAUGCAAUGCUAACGCAUAGCAGUGAUGUACUCCGCACUCGUACCUGUUACCUGCUAAAGAUGCUGGCUCACCACUGUAGCAAAGCCUUGCAGAAUAUUUGGUCUAAAGAACUCGAAAAUGAUAUAGAGUCCUUGGAAUAUGACUCGGAUCACUCAGUUAGACUGGCAGCUGAAGAUGCUCUGGAAGAAUUGAAGAAGCAGCCAUUUUUCACUCACACUAGUUGUGAUUUUGAUCAGGAGUGAUGAUAUUUCUUCUAUUUUAAAAUAUGUUUACCACGGUAUGUUCCUGAAUCAAUUCCUCCUGAAAUUUGACAAUAAGAUGUAAAACUAUCUCUUCGAUUUUCUUCUCUUUCUCUUCAACUGCGUCUACCUUGAUGGCUAUGAUAAUUGAAAUGUACUCAAAUCUUAUCAAUGAUUGUGGAAAACUCUGACCUCGUAGGAAACUCAAGAAGUUUCUCGCUAUUUGAAGGAAUCUCUUCUCUUCAAUUUCGUACCACUGCUCAUGACGCGCACGAAUCAACCAGUAUUCCAUCAGGAAGAAUUCGGAAGUCAUUCACAGGGAUCAUUAGGAAUUACCAAUAGGAAAUAUUUUCAAUGUUUGAGUGGAAUUUAAGAAAUAAAUGCUUUUUAAUAGGCUACCUAUGUUUCUGGAAAAAGGUUUUCCUCAUAAUAAUCGAAUUGAUGAUUUAUUUACUGUGUUCUUAUUUUUAUCAUCUAUAAGUUUUCUUUUCAUUUUAUAUGUUGUAAUGUAUCAUUAGUUUAUGAUUAAAUGUUAUGUUUUGUUUCAAA